CCUGAACGCUAGCGGCGUGGUUAAGACAUGCAAGUCGCACGGGCCCGGGGCAACUCGGGCCAGUGGCGGACGGGUGAGUAAUGCAUCGCCAACGUACCCCGGACUCCGGGAUAAGCGGCCGAAAGGCCGGGUAAUACCGGACGAGAUCGCGGCAGGGCAUCCUGCCGCGCUCAAGGGAGCAAUCCGGUCCGGGAUCGGGCAAUGUCGUAUCAGCUAGUUGGCGGGGUAACGGCCACCAAGGCGACGACGCGUAGCUGGUCUGAGAGGACGGCCAGCCACAUCGGGACUGAGACACUGCCCGGACUCCUACGGGGGGCUGCAGUAACGAAUCUUCCGCAAUGCACGCAAGUGUGACGGAGCGACGCCGCGUGUGGG
rnacentral:rRNA from 1 species